rnacentral:rRNA from 1 species
GACGAACGCUGGCGGCGUGCUUAACACAUGCAAGUCGAACGAUGAAGAAAAGAAUCGAAGCCUCGGCAGAAAUUCAUUUCGGAUUAGUGGCAGACGGGUGAGUAACGCGUGAGCAACCUACCUCUUACAAAGGGAUAGCCUCGGGAAACCGGGAUUAAUACCAUAUAACAUUGUGACGAAGCAUUUCGAUGCAAUCAAAGCUACGGCGGUAAGAGAUGGGCUCGCGUCCCAUUAACCGGAUGGUGAGGUAACGGCUCACCAUAGUGACGAUGGGUAACCGGCCUGAGAGGGUGAACGGUCACACUGGAACUGAGACACGGUCCAGACUCCUACGGGAGGCAGCAGUGGGGAAUAUUGCACAAUGGAGGGAACUCUGAUGCAGCGACGCCGCGUGAGUGAUGAAGGAAUUCGUUUCGUAAAACUCUGUUCUAUGGGAAGAAAAGGACUGUACCAUAGGAGAAAGCUCCGGCUAAAUACGUG